GCUGGGCGCGGUGGUGCAGCGCCUGUCAUCCCAGAGGCUUGGGAGGCUGAGGCAGGAGGAUCGCCAGGUGGAGGCCAGCCUCAGCAACAGCGAAGGCCUAAGCAACUCGGCGGGACCCUGUCUCUA
rnacentral:sRNA from 1 species